ensembl:lncRNA
AGAGCCAUAAUUCAGAGAGAUGAAGGACGCAGGAGGGAUGGAAUUAUAGCCAGGCCUCUGCUGCCCAUCUGGACAGCCUUUCCCCGCCUCCCCGGAAGUUAGAUGUGAGCAAGUGAUGUGGCUGUCAUCAUGGAACGUGAGCAGAGCUGACGUGGAGCAUCCACAGGCCUGGGGGGACGUGGCGGCGAGUCCUCCGUACUCUUUCUCCUUCCUGAUGGCUGGAAUCUGCACUCACAGCCACCCAGUAUCAACCAGUGACUGUGAUGGUACUGCCGAGGCGGGGGCACACAGGGCAAGGAGAGGCGCCCACCUCUUGCGCCACCCAUGUUGACAAUGUGGUGUAAGAGAGAAAUACAACCCUUUGUCUGCCUGGCCACGUGUUGCUGCCUCGCUUUGUUACAGCACUUUUCUCUGUUAUGGUAUGCUUCCUUCUAAUUGUCCUGCUCUGAGGUGUUCUUUUCCUCACAUUCCAUGGUCCUCUCUCAGAUCAGGGAGUCCGGGUUCACU